GACGAACGCUGGCGGCGUGCUUAACACAUGCAAGUCGAACGAAGUGGCGAACGGGUGAGUAACGCGUAAUCAACCUGCCCUUCAGAGGGGGACAACAGUUGGAAACGACUGCUAAUACCGCAUACUGAAGGAGGGGAUUGCGUCUGAUUAGCUAGUUGGAGGGGUAACGGCCCACCAAGGCGAUGAUCAGUAGCCGGGCUGGUGGGAUGAACGGCCAACAUGGGACUGAGACACGGCCCAGAAUCCUACGGGAGGCAGCAGGUGGGAAUCUUCCGCAAUGGACGAAAGUCCGACGGAGCAACGCCGCGGGAGUGAUGAAGGGCUUCGGGUUGUAAAGCUCUGUUAAUCGGGACGCGGUACCGGAAUAGAAAGCCACGGCUAACUACGUGCCAGCAGCCGCGGUAAUAC
rnacentral:rRNA from 1 species